rnacentral:rRNA from 1 species
CAGCCGCCGCGGUAAUACGUAGGGGGCUAGCGUUGUCCGGAAUUAUUGGGCGUAAAGCGCGCGCAGGCGGUCCUUUAAGUCUGAUGUGAAAGCCCACGGCUCAACCGUGGAGGGUCAUUGGAAACUGGGGGACUUGAGUGCAGGAGAGGAGAGCGGAAUUCCACGUGUAGCGGUGAAAUGCGUAGAGAUGUGGAGGAACACCAGUGGCGAAGGCGGCUCUCUGGCCUGUAACUGACGCUGAGGCGCGAAAGCGUGGGGAGCAAACAGGAUUAGAUACCCUGGUAGUCCACGCCGUAAACGAUGAGUGCUAAGUGUUAGAGGGGUCACACCCUUUAGUGCUGCAGCUAACGCGAUAAGCACUCCGCCUGGGGAGUACGGCCGCAAGGCUGAAACUUAAAGGAAUUGGCGGG